UACGUAGGGGGCAAGCGUUGUCCGGAUUUAUUGGGCGUAAAGAGCGUGUAGGCGGCCAGACAGGUCCGCUGUGAAAACUCGAGGCUCAACCUCGAGAUGUCGGUGGAAACCGUCUGGCUAGAGUCCGGAAGAGGAGAGUGGAAUUCCCGGUGUAGCGGUGAAAUGUGCAGAUAUCGGGAAGAACACCCGUGGCGAAGGCGGCUCUCUGGGACGGUACUGACGCUGAGACGCGAAAGCGUGGGGAGCGAACAGG
rnacentral:rRNA from 1 species